GCAUUUACCGUAGUCUAGUUGGACAACAUACAAAAUGUGUUCCCCAAACAGUCUGUAAUUGAGAUAUUCUAGGUCCAAUAAAUGUUCAGUAUUUUUACCACAGAAGAGGUACAAGCGCUUAAAGCCGUAACCCUCAGUAUUUCUCAAACAGGGGCUGGGACAGCAGUUCUAAGAUUAAACAUUAGAAGGCGGGGGAUGCUGGGCUUAGGUUUUAAAGAGUGUUCCUCUCAAAACUGAGUAAACAACUUGCAGCAGUCACUUGAGUGCUUGUUUCUAAAGCUGGUUUGCAGUAUUGCAACACAGAUAAAUUCUUAUAGGCUCAUUUAGAACCACUAGAGUGAGUAAAGUAGAUUGCCGACUAACUGGAUCUUCUGACUUGGUGCAGUGGACAGCUCUACAUGGGCUGCAGAACAGGUGGAAAGGAAACUGUGCUGGAAAACUCUGACCUACCAGGGCCUCCCACCCCCUGUUCCUCUCCCUCUCCCUCUCUGCUUCCCUCCCUCACUUCCUCCCUGCGUAUGUUGACAAGACACAGCUAAAGCUUCCAUAAUACUGGCUCUUCACGUUCGUGACCCCAAAGCAAGCAUACAUCCACGUGCGUGCAUGCACAUGGACAACUUUCCAAAUCCUCAGCCAACAUCCUUUCAUCUGUCAAUGUCCGGGCCCCCUCCUUACGAAGCCACCCGGCACAGAGGAGAGCCACACACAUACCUCGGUGUGGGGAAAUGCAGCCAGAGACCUCCCAACGCCCACAUCCUAACCCACGAUCCCUGACGCACAGCGAGCCUUUGGCAAUGCUCCCAAACCUCGAGCAUGAAAACCGGAGCAGCACCAAGCCCACGUAUCCAGCGCAGGGCCCCACCUUCUUUCCCGAAACCGGCCGACGGCGAUGAGCACGCGCUAAGGCGCGCGAGCGUCUCUGCACCGUGAGGAAGUUGCUCACGCGCGCUGUUCAUGUGAGCACAGGCAGGCCAGCAUGAGGAAGACGAAGGUGAAGAGGCCAGAGAAGGAGACAGCCACCACGGCCAGCGAGGACGGCCACGAC